AUCUACAUGACGAGUCCCAAAUAGGACUAAAUGCGCGUCAAGCUAGAU
rnacentral:hammerhead_ribozyme from 1 species